UACGUAGGGGGCAAGCGUUGUCCGGAUUUAUUGGGCGUAAAGAGCGUGUAGGCGGCCAGGUAGGUCAGCUGUGAAAACUCGAGGCUCAACCUCGAGAUGUCGGCUGAAACCAUCUGGCUAGAGUCCGGAAGAGGAGAAUGGAAUUCCCGGUGUAGCGGUGAAAUGCGCCGAUAUCGGGAAGAACACCCGUGGCGAAGGCGGUUCUCUGGGACGGUACUGACGCUGAGACGCGAAAGCGUGGGGAGCGAA
rnacentral:rRNA from 1 species